GAUCAGCUGAUGAAAAGCCUUUCUUCUCCACUAAUUGUCCCCUCAACUUUAUAACUGGUUGUGCUCCAUUGGUAGAAGCACCUCUCUUGAUCAAUGAACUUUUCUUUGUCAGAAUUAUUUUAAUUUAGGCGUAUUGGAGCCCAUUCUUUUAAGAAUGAAAAGCCUGUGUUAGGCCAUGCCACAACUUGUUUGUUUGGACUUCAACUAGACCACUUCAAAACAUUAAUUUUGUAUUUUAGAGCCAUUCAAUGGUGGACUUACUGGUGUACUCUGAAUCGUUGACCUGCCGCAUAACCAAAGCACACUUCAGCUCAAGGCCACAAAUGGUGACCCAACGCUCCCCUUUAGGAUUUGCUGACUAUGAGCAAUGAUCAGUUAACAAUCUGUCCGUUAUCAGACCUGGAUGUGGCUGGUGAAAUUAAACUCCAGGACCAGUGUAAAUGUUGCUGCAGACCCUUUCAUGGCAGCCGAGCUCCCUGAUGGCAGAUGCCUCCCCCAGCAGGACAGUGCAUCCUUUCACACAGCAGUAACUGUCCUAGAACAGCAUGGGCAACAAGAAAAAGAGCCAAAGAUGUUGACCUAGCCUUUGGUAUCUCCCCUAGAUCCCAAUCUGAUUGUGUAAUUCUCUUCAAGCAAGUCCAAUCCACGGAUCAGCUAAAGUUUCCAAGCCAGGAACCACAGGACAUCCCAGAU